AGCGAACGCUGGCGGCAGGCCUAACACAUGCAAGUCGAACGAACUCUUCGGAGUUAGUGGCGGACGGGUGAGUAACACGUGGGAACGUGCCUUUAGGUUCGGAAUAACUCAGGGAAACUUGUGCUAAUACCGAAUGUGCCCUUCGGGGGAAAGAUUUAUCGCCUUUAGAGCGGCCCGCGUCUGAUUAGCUAGUUGGUGAGGUAAAGGCUCACCAAGGCGACGAUCAGUAGCUGGUCUGAGAGGAUGAUCAGCCACAUUGGGACUGAGACACGGCCCAAACUCCUACGGGAGGCAGCAGUGGGGAAUCUUGCGCAAUGGGCGAAAGCCUGACGCAGCCAUGCCGCGUGAAUGAUGAAGGUCUUAGGAUUGUAAAAUUCUUUAACCGGGGACGAUAAUGACGGUACCCGGAGAAGAAGCCCCGGCUAACCUCGUG
rnacentral:rRNA from 1 species